UANGGGCCCUGUNGCCUCCCCUACUGGAAGCACCACCACCUUCCGUUAAUUGAUCAUCACGUGCUUGCUCUGAAUGAGAUUUUAACACGAAGUGAGUGGCGNCCGGGUGAGUCCCACCCGAAUUACUUGCCCACCCCCCGGGAAUAACCCCUGGACCCCAUGCUAAUACCGUAUAACAGACAAAACCCGCUGGUUUUCUUUUAAAAUAUGGCUCUNCUAUCCCUUUUGGAUGGACCCGCGUCGCUUUAUUUCCUUGGUCCCGGAACGGCUCCCUGGCCACGUUGCCUGGCCGACCUGCCCGGGAAUCGGCCACCUUGGGACUGCGAAACGGCCCAUACUCCUUGGGAGGCUCCAGCAUGGAAUCUUCCCUAUGUACCCAAGCCUGAUGGAGUACGCCUCUUCAGGCUAAAAAUUUCUCUUCUAAAAUCUCUUCUAAAAAAACCGUGCCUGUAGUAACGUUCUCCCCUGACGGCCUUUAUUAAUUUUCCCCGGCUCACUUUUU
rnacentral:rRNA from 1 species